rnacentral:rRNA from 1 species
UACGGAGGGGGUUAGCGUUGUUCGGAAUUACUGGGCAAUAAGCGAGAGGCGAUCAGAAAGUUGGGGGUGAAAUCCCGGGGCUCAACCCCGGAACUGCCUCCAAAACUCCUGGUCUUGAGUUCGAGAGAGGUGAGUGGAAUUCCGGUGUAGAGGUGAAAUUCGUAGAUAUUCGGAGGAACACCAGUGGCGAAGGCGGCUCACUGGCUCGAUACUGACGCUGAGGUGCGAAAGUGUGGGGAGCAAACAGGAUUAGAUACCCCGCGUA